rnacentral:misc_RNA from 1 species
ACAAACUUGGUCAUUUAGAGGAAGUAAAAGUCGUAACAAGGUUUCCGUAGGUGAACCUGCGGAAGGAUCAUUACUGAGGUUACCGGGGGCGAGUUUGCGGGAUGCAAGUGCCAGCACUCUUUGGGUGCGUUGUGCACGGCUCUCCUUCUCGUCUUCGUUCCUUCUAUCAACCCCUGUGCACCAUAAUAGGAUUAGAGAGAAGCGCGGCAGAUUAAGGAUUAGCCUAGUAGUUGUGGGUCCCCACCCACGGCAAAAGGUUAAUCUUGACGCGUGGUACCUCGAACCCCUUGAUUAUUACAAACCACUAUCUAUGUCUUGUCAGAAUGUUCAGUCCCUUGUUGGACGCUAAAUGAAAUACAACUUUCAACAACGGAUCUCUUGGCUCUCGCAUCGAUGAAGAACGCAGC